rnacentral:rRNA from 1 species
GAUGAACGCUGGCGGCGUGCCUAAUACAUGCAAGUCGAGCGAACGGACGAGAAGCUUGCUUCUCUGAUGUUAGCGGCGGACGGGUGAGUAACACGUGGAUAACCUACCUAUAAGACUGGGAUAACUUCGGGAAACCGGAGCUAAUACCGGAUGAUAUUUUGAACCGCAUGGUUCAAAAGUGAAAGACGGUCUUGCUGUCACUUAUAGAUGGAUCCGCGCUGCAUUAGCUAGUUGGUAAGGUAACGGUUUACCAAGGCAACGAUGCAUAGCCGACCUGAGAGGGUGAUUGGCCACACUGGAACUGAGACACGGUCCAGACUCCUACGGGAGGCAGCAGUAGGGAAUCUUCCGCAAUGGGCGAAAGCCUGACGGAGCAACGCCGCGUGAGUGAUGAAGGUCUUCGGAUCGUAAAACUCUGUUAUUAGGGAAGAACAUAUGUGUAAGUAACUGUGCACAUCUUGACGGUACCUAAUCAGAAAGCCACGGCUAACUACGUG